UACGGAGGGUGCAAGCGUUGUUCGGAAUCACGAGGCGUAAAGCGUGCGUAGGCGGUUUGGUAAGUCGAGAGUGCAAUCCCAGGGCUCAACUCUGGAACUGCUCUCGAUACUGCUGAACUUGAGUGUGAGAGAGGGAAGCGGAAUUCCUGGUGUAGCGGUGAAAUGCGUAGAUAUCAGGAGGAACACCGGUGGCGAAAGCGGCUUCCUGGCUCAUUACUGACGCUGAGGCACGAAAGCGUGGGGAGCAAACAGG
rnacentral:misc_RNA from 1 species